GCCAUCGGCCAUACCGUGCUUUAUACGCCGGUUCGCGUCCGAUCACCGAAGCCAAGCAGCACUGGGCUCGGUCAGUACUUGGAAGGCAGACGACCUAGGAACACCGAGUACUGACGGCA
rnacentral:rRNA from 1 species